rnacentral:rRNA from 1 species
AACGAACGCUGGCGGCGUGCCUAACACAUGCAAGUCGAACGAGAAAGGGGCUUCGGCUCCGAGUAAAGUGGCGCACGGGUGAGUAACACGUGGGUAACCUGCCUCUAAGAUUGGGAUAACUCGUCGAAAGAUGAGCUAAUACCGAAUAAGACCACAGUUCCCGCGGGAACAGGGGUCAAAGGUAGCCUCUGCUUGCAAGCUAUCACUUAGAGAUGGGCCUGCGCACCAUUAGCUAGUUGGUAGGGUAACGGCCUACCAAGGCAAAGAUGGUUAGCUGGUCUGAGAGGAUGAUCAGCCACACUGGAACUGAGACACGGUCCAGACUCCUACGGGAGGCAGCAGUGGGGAAUAUUGCGCAAUGGGCGAAAGCUUGACGCAGCAACGCCGCGUGAGUGAUGAAGGCCUUCGGGUCGUAAAGCUCUGUCGGGAGGAACGAAUGCUCCUGAGGUUAACAGCCUCGGGAGGUGACGGUACCUUCAAAGGAGGCACCGGCUAACUCUGUG